rnacentral:rRNA from 1 species
UAGGGAAUCUUCGGCAAUGGACGAAAGUCUGACCGAGCAACGCCGCGUGAGUGAAGAAGGUUUUCGGAUCGUAAAACUCUGUUGGUAGAGAAGAACGUUGGUGAGAGUGGAAAGCUCAUCAAGUGACGGUAACUACCCAGAAAGGGACGGCUAACUACGUGCCAGCAGCCGCGGUAAUACGUAGGUCCCGAGCGUUGUCCGGAUUUAUUGGGCGUAAAGCGAGCGCAGGUGGUUUAUUAAGUCUGGUGUAAAAGGCAGUGGCUCAACCAUUGUAUGCAUUGGAAACUGGUAGACUUGAGUGCAGGAGAGGAGAGUGGAAUUCCAUGUGUAGCGGUGAAAUGCGUAGAUAUAUGGAGGAACACCGGUGGCGAAAGCGGCUCUCUGGCCUGUAACUGACACUGAGGCUCGAAAGCGUGGGGAGCAAACAGGAUUAGAUACC